UGAGUAACGCAAACAUUGAUGAGAAUCUAAUGCCUCGAAAACCCAAGGGUUCUUCCGCAAGGUUCAUCCAUGGAGGGUGAGUCAAGGCCUAAGAUUAGGCCAAAGGGCGUAGUCGAUGGACAACAGGUGAAUAUUCCUGUACUACCCUUUGUUGAGGUUCAACAACACCAUCUCAUGUCUGAAGGCUAAUUUGGUGCUAGUUUGCAAUUCCAAAAGUUUCUAUUAAGCAUGGAAAAUAAAACUUAAUAAAAAAAUUAUGAUUCCCAAAGAACUCAUCUAUAUUCAUGGAUUGUAGAGUUGAUAAUUUUUACUAUAUAUACAAUUUUCUUCCUCCAAUAUAAUCUGAUAUGGCAAAAAAGAAAAUAGAAGGCUUCGGGAGUUAGGUUACCCAUUGAAUU
rfam:Glycine max cultivar Williams 82 chromosome 7, whole genome shotgun sequence.